rnacentral:rRNA from 1 species
AGGACGAACGCUGGCGGCGCGCUUAAUACAUGCAAGUCGAGCGACGAAAGGGCCUUCGGGCCCCUGAAAGCGGCGAACGGGUGAGUAACACGUGGGUAACCCACCCUCGGUUUCGGGAUAGCCCGGGGAAACUCGGAUUAAUACCGAAUGGCCUCCAAGGUCUACGGACUCUGGAGAAAAGGUAGCUUCGGCCUCCGACCGAGGACGGGCCCGCGGCCGAUUAGCUUGUUGGCGGGGUAAUGGCCCACCAAGGCGACGAUCGGUAGCUGGUCUGAGAGGACGAUCAGCCACACUGGGACUGAGACACGGCCCAGACUCCUACGGGAGGCAGCAGUAGGGAAUCUGCGCAAUGGGCGAAAGCCUGACGCAGCGACGCCGCGUGCGGGAAGAAGGCCUUCGGGUUGAAACCGCGUUUCAGGAGGGACGAAGCCAGUCGGUUAAUGACCCAGAGGUGACGGUACCUCCAGAAGAGCCCCGAUAACUACGUCGACCAGC